UACGUAGGGGGCGAGCGUUGUCCGGAUUUAUUGGGCGUAAAGAGCGUGUAGGCGGCCAGGUAGGUCUGCUGUGAAAACUCGAGGCUCAACCUCGAGACGUCGGCGGAAACCAUCUGGCUAGAGUCCGGAAGAGGAGAGUGGAAUUCCUGGUGUAGCGGUGAAAUGCGCAGAUAUCAGGAAGAACACCAGUGGCGAAGGCGGCCCGCUGGGCAGUGGCUGACGCUGAGGCGCGACAGCGUGGGGAGCAAACGGG
rnacentral:rRNA from 1 species